rnacentral:misc_RNA from 1 species
GAUGAAGAACGCAGUGAAAUGCGAUAAGUAGUGUGAAUUGCAGAAUUCAGUGAAUCAUCGAAUCUUAGAACGCACAUUGCGCCCCUUGGUAUUCCAUGGGGCAUGCCUGUUCGAGCGUCAUUUGUACCCUCCAGCCCUGCUGGGUGUUGGGCGUUUUGUUCCGCCGCGCGCGUGAACUCGCCUCAAAUGCAUUGGCAGCCAGCCGUCCCGCGUGGGAGCGCAGCACAUUUUGCGCUCUCCGCUGGGUGCGGCGGCGUCCACAAGCCUAUACCUUUACGCUUGACCUCGGAUCAGGUAGGGAUACCCGCUGAACUUAAGCAUAUCAAUAAGCGGAGGA